UGCUGGGGCUUAAAGGCUUUAGUGAACAAACAGGCUGGCUCUUCUUCAGCCUUUAUGGGCUAGUCUCUUAGGAGGACACUGGGCAAAAUGAGGUUUCUUUCAGUCCAGUGAAAGAAUGAUGUGCUUCUUUGUGCUCGGCUGCCCUUCUGCAGAAUGUGGCUCCAGGGGUCAAGGGAGGUGGGGAUGGGAGUGUCAGGAGCUAACUGGUGCAGGCUGGCUCCUGAGUCCAUGCAUGGCCAGUCUGCAAUGUGCCUGUAUACUGGCCCAGUGCGGGAUGGGCUGGGUGGAGCCUGGUUGUCCAGUGACCCUGCUCUUCAGGGUUAAGAAGAGACUAGAAUUCUUCUUCAGACAUCUCGUGGAUUUUUGUUUGGUUUUGUUUUUCCUGUAGCUGUAAGAACGAAGGCUGUGCCUAGAACCCAUGGCUGUCAGACCAUCAUCGGCUUCAUGCAGGGCCACAGGACAUCUUGCAAGAGUUGGUUUUUGCUUCCAGCAUGCUAGUCCUAGAGAUUAAACUGAAGUCAUCAGGCUUGGGGUGUAAAGGGGAAAAUACCAUCCUGCUGAGACACCCCUCUGCUAGAGUGACCCCGCUUAUGAUUAUUCCACAGAUCUAUCUCUAUGAGGAAGAGAAAACUACCACAAACCAGAGAUGUUUGUGGUAGACACGAGACACCAGACACGAGAGAUGUUCAUUCAUCCCUGGACCUGCCAUACUUCUUGGAUCUGCCUGGACCACAAUAGCUGUGAUCAUCCAGACACACCUAACUAGAGACUUUUGAAACAAACUCGACCAGGAGAUGAAAUGAAGUUGGUUCAAUACCCCUUAUCUCCCCAGCUCCUACCCCUUAUUAGCCCUCCAACUGUGUUAUAUUUUAUUUGGAUGCUUGACUUACACAGUUACUCCAGCAACAGGUGACCACUAUUGCUGGAAUCACCACCAAUCAGGCCAUGGUAUGUUACCAGAUCCUACAUCACUCUAAUAUAGAUGAUAGAUUUCUUAAUGCUCAUGAUGACACUUCUCUAUUAAAAAAUAAAAUGAGAUGUUGGAGGAAGCCUGUUUGAGAUUGCGGUUCUAGCCAAAAUAGCCAUUCUGAGCUAGGUGUUAAAGUGCAGGAC